ACCCGCUGAACUUAAGCAUAUCAAUAAGCGGAGGAAAAGAAACCAACAGGGAUUGCCCCAGUAACGGCGAGUGAAGCGGCAACAGCUCAAAUUUGAAAUCUGGCUCUCGGGCCCGAGUUGUAAUUUGUAGAGGAUGCUUUUGGUGAGGUGCCUUCUGAGUUCCCUGGAACGGGACGCCAGAGAGGGUGAGAGCCCCGUAUAGUCGGCCACCGAUCCUUUGUAAAGCUCCUUCGACGAGUCGAGUAGUUUGGGAAUGCUGCUCAAAAUGGGAGGUAUAUCUCUUCUAAAGCUAAAUAUAGGCCAGAGACCGAUAGCGCACAAGUAGAGUGAUCGAAAGAUGAAAAGCACUUUGAAAAGAGGGUUAAAUAGCACGUGAAAUUGUUGAAAGGGAAGCGCUUGUGACCAGACUUGUGCCGGGCUGAUCAUCCGUCCUUUUGGGCGGUGCACUCGACCCGGCUCAGGCCAGCGUCGGUUCUCGCAGGGGGAUAAAAGCUUCGGGAACGUGGCUCCUUCGGGAGUGUUAUAGCCCGUUGCUUAAUACCCUUGUGGGGACCGAGGUUCGCGCUCUGCAAGGACGCUGGCAUAAUGGUCAUCAGCGACCCGUCUUGAAACACGG
rnacentral:rRNA from 1 species